AAAGUUUGACAGACAAUCGCUGGCGUGCGGUCAUUCCGCCGCGAGAGGAAAGUCCGGGCUCCACAGGGCAGGAUGCUGGAUAACGUCCAGUCGGCGCGAGCCGAAGGAUAGGGCCACAGAAAUGGACCGCCGAUGGCGUUCGUGAAGUGCGGUGCGGGCAACCCGCCGCAUGGGACGCACAGGCAAGGAUGGAACCGUGGUGUAAGAGACCACGAGGAGCGCUGGCGACUUCGUUCCUGGUAAACCCCAUCUGGAGCAAGACCUAAUGGAACGCAGCGGACCCAGAGUCCGCAGCCUUAGCCCGAGGUGCGUUCGGGUUGGUCGCUGGAGCCGUUCAGUAAUGUUCGGCCUAGAUAGAUGAUUGUCGCUUCAAUGGUGGGAGGGCGCUUGGGCGUCCGUUCGGACCACCGGAAGAACAGAACCCGGCUUACGGCAAACUUUCCUU
rnacentral:RNase_P_RNA from 1 species